CCUCAGAUUGCUCAACUCCAGUGUGCUGAAAUUGAAGAGAAACAUAUAUGGCUUAUUUAUGCAGUUUGUUUGUGGGAUAUUUACGGCUGUUAUGGUGACUCUGUACAUUGGAAAGACAUGGCCAGUUUCACAACUUUGCAAAGAGGGAGAGCACAACACAACUGUAGAGAGCGCUCUUUGGCCAAUUCUCUGCGGCGGGAGAGCCUGAAGCUGGACCGCACAUUGCGCUCUCUGGGUGUCCAGUACCAGCGAGAAUUAGCAGGCUUUCGGAAUGUUCAGAUGGAGGUGCAGAGGGCACUUGAGCGUCUGGACGGUG